rnacentral:lncRNA from 8 species
GCCCUACUUUAUAACAUUUUGAAAGAAAAAGCUAACAUUUGAACUUAAACUGUAUAUGUUUAUAAACUUUUUGGGAAAGGUUUUACACAAAAGCCGCACACCAAAUUUCAAAAGCAGCAUAUGAACCCCACCCCUCUCCGUGUUGAAAUCAAUGAUUGGUAAGAUUCUGCCUCUCGUCGAUCUUCUUCCCAUAUAGGAGUGGUUAUACCAAGUGUCUAUCUUCUAUCUCCGCCCACCUUUUUGCACGCUCCCGUGUCUUGUUUUGGAGUUUUAUUUAUGGUCAGCGCACUCCCGAUGCCGGAGCUAUCGUUUGCUUCACACUGACAUCAUAGCGGAUUACAAUGUCAAAUAUUUUGGAAGCAGCACUAGCCUCUGGUUUUACACCCCGUGAGAGAGAUUCGUCGUUUAUAUUCCACUCAUUUGAAAUAUAAAGUUGCAAUAUUUUUCGCAUGAAACAUUUUUGGGGGAUGGAAUGAUGCAUUCAAGUUAAGGUCUAUGUAACAGAGAGUGGGUCAGGUCAGGGAUGCUGCAGCAUCGGAGGGAAUCUGACUCUCAUGGCCUGUUUUCAUCUGGAGAGACCUCCGACAAUGACUGUGAGAUGGGGGCAAGUUGUGGAGAAGUUGGCGUAGUGUGUUUGUGUGAGACUGGACCCUGCACACUAUACUCUGAAGCACAUACACAGACGCCGGACACACUGAAAUGUGAACACUGUGGGAAAAACAGGGUAGUGAUAACCAGGUACUCAGAGGGAUAUGGCACAGAGGAAGAGUGUGCCCUGUCUGAUCCUCAGGGUGACAGCGAUGCAGACGCUGACAUCGAGGACACAGAUUGCAGACUACAGGAGCCAGGUUCUCUCCAGCGAAUCAGUUCGCGGAGACGGAAGCGACCACGAAUAGCACGGCAGGACACCACGGAGAGUGAGGACGAUGGGGGGAGGAGUCACAGGAGUCACCGCUGGAGCCUCAGACUCAGUCCCCACCGGGCUCACAACAGAACCUUACUAGAGGAGAGUGUGUCACAGGUCAGACCGUUAGUGAUCUGUCGGCCCAGUGUCAGAGGAGACGGUCAGGGUCCUCCAGUCGAAGGGCCCAGAACUGGCCCAAAAUGUCUCUGGUUCCUGUGGCCCUCGUCUCUCUCUCUGCCUGUCGUUCUCCUCCUCUCCAUCCCUCUCUCUCUCUCCUUAGUCAUCGUCAUCAUAUCUUUCCUGAUGCCUCGGGCCAGUACUUGA